rnacentral:rRNA from 1 species
ACGGCUGUAUCAUGUUGAAAUAUUGGUUCCCGUACGAUCACCAACAUUAAGCAACGUCGAGCCUGGCCUGUACUCAGAUGGGUGACCGCUUGGAAAUACC